AGUCUGCUACAGCAGCACAACAUCAUCCAUCAUUGUAGGACUGAUAGAGGACGACACCAUCCUGGUGUUCAGAGUGGAAUAGUGUGUACAUUUGCUGCUGGGUCGGGACAACGAUGCUGAGGAUGUGGGGGACAAGCAUGACGCAGAAGGUGAGCACCAGCAUUGAUAUCCAGUUGGCCAAGCAACAGCACCAUUCCGGCCUGCAGGAGCCCCAACACUAAAUGAUCCUUUGCCUUCCCUGAUCCCUAGCUCCUCCCACUGGACCUCCGGCCUCAAAGGGUCAGCAUCGUUACACAAGUCUGUUCUGCAAUAAAUCCUCAGCACGUCAAGUUUUCACGCGCUGUUAUGAACAACCAAAAUGUCUGUGUCGAGGUUUCCCCAAUCAAGCCCGAGUAGUUUUGUUUAGCUCUAGUGCCCGAGUGGGAUGAGUGUUACAGAAGAGAGACGUUAUAGCAGUACUUAUGGUAACGCUAACAGUUAACGCUAACAGUUAGUUCUCGCUGUGGACAUCACGAAGAAUUAAACGUUGAAUAAUUUGUUUAAUUCUUUAUAAGACAGCUUUUUAUUCAGCGAGGAACGGGAGCAAAUCAAGGAACAAUCGAAACAAUAUAUUGGGAAGUAUAUCUGCUGUAGAUAGUUAGGACAGUAGUAGCGUUACGGACUGUCCUCAGUGCACCAUUUAUUCAUGUGGUGCGCAUCAGACGCGAAUUCCGCCCAUUAUUGAGAGGGCGUCGCAUUGAAUUGAGACUAAAGGAGGCUUUGAAACAUGACACCAGUUUUGUUGUAUGGUCCAGUACGCCAUUCGACUCUCAACCCGAAGUUAAUCAGAACUCAAACUCGGCCCUUAACAAUAUCCGAGAGGCCAGCAUAUCAGCUCAGCUUCUGAGCUUCAGAGCCUGUUCCUCCUGGUCCAGGACCUUUGGACAAAUGUUCAAAUAGUACUACCCACAGGAUGAAGCCACUCUGAAUCCGGGGCUCCAUACUUUCUUGGCCAGGGGCCAAGACUACCUCGUCAAUAAGCAGAGCACCAGCAUUGAUAUCAAGUUGGCCCAGCAUCCGCACGAGUUCCGCCUGCAGGAGCCCCAGUUCAGAACAAUCCUUCCCCUCCCCUGACUUCUAACUCCUCCCCCUUGACCUCCUGACUCAAAAAGUCAGCAUCGUUGAACAACUCCGUUCUGCAGGAAAUUCUGAGCAUGAUUCUGUUCUGAACAAACGCAAUGCCAACGUCAAGUUGUCCAUACAUAAGCCUGGGUAGUUUUGUUAAUCUAGAGUUCCCCGUGGGCCUGAGAGGGAUGAGUGUUACAGACACGAAAAGUUAUAACAGUCGUUAUGGUUACGCCAACAGUCAGUAGUUGCUGUUAGA